GUGAGUAACACGUAAGUGACCUGCCCUUGAGUGGGGGAUAACCCCGAGAAAUUGGGGCUAAUACCGCAUAAAGUGUUUGGGGUAAGGCCCGGACACCAAAGCCUUCGGGUGCUUGAGGAGGGGCUUGCGGCCUAUCAGGUAGUUGGUGAGGGUAACGGCCCACCAAGCCGAUGACGGGUAGCUGGUUUGAGAGGAUGAUCAGCCACAUUGGGACUGAGACACGGCCCAGACUCCUACGGGAGGCAGCAGCAGGGAAUAUUGCGCAAUGGGCGAAAGCCUGACGCAGCAACGCCGCGUGGGUGAAGAAGGCCUUCGGGUCGUAAAGCCCUUUUCUUGGGGAAGAAGCACUGACGGUACCCAGGGAAUAAGCCUCGGCUAAUCACGUGCCAGCAGCCGCGGUGAUACGUGAGAGGCGAGCGUUAUCCGGAUUUACUGGGCGUAAAGGGCGUGUAGGCGGUUGGGCAAGUCCUUUGUGAAAUCUCCUGGCUUAACCGGGAGGGGUCAAAGGAAACUACCUGACUUGAGGGUAGCAGGGGGAGAUGGAAUUCUCGGUGGAGCGGUGAAAUGCGUAGAUAUCGAGAGGAACACCAGUGGCGAAGGCGAUCUCCUGGGCUAUACCUGACGCUGAGGCGCGAAAGCGUGGGGAGCAAACAGGAUUAGAUACCCU
rnacentral:rRNA from 1 species